AAGAAGUUAGUUUAAUAAAAAAUUUUGGUCUGUGGAACCGAAGAUAACAUAGGUUACUUCUUC
rnacentral:tRNA from 1 species